rnacentral:lncRNA from 1 species
GUCUUAGGUUGAAACUCAAAAGACUAUGAUACUUUGCAUGACUUCAAGAUCAGCGAUUAGUGAUCGUUGAAAUUUCAACGGAAAAUCUAGAAUUUUCCUCAACGUGUUUGACAUUGUGUACACCUAAACGAUGAAUUCAACUUUGGACCUAAUUUGAUUGAUACGUUACCCAUCAUGCACGAUAAUUUCUUUGAAAAUUCUUUUUUGUUCAAGAAUCAUAGCCUCAAUCUAUUUAUGUAUCCUUUCUUGUCACUACUAUUAGAAUAAGAAAUCCUUCGCACUACAAGAAAAUUGAUAUUAUUUUAUGACAAAAAUCAUUUUAUCAUAUAAUUAUAAUGGAGUCGUCAUAGAAUUUUGAUCUAUCAAACUUCAUUUUAUCAUGUAAUUAUAAUGGAGUCAGUCACAUAAUUUUGAUUUAUCAAACUAUUAAUGAUGUACUUGUGAUGUAAUAUUUAUCUAUUAAUAGUUUAUGAUAUAGAAUUUUGAUAUCAACAUGUUGACCAUAUUUAAAAGUAAUAUUUUAUUUUUUAUUUUUAUAACCGAAACGCGGCAUUUAGAUUAUUGAAAUAAUUUUUAAAAAAAUAACGAAACACUGCGUUUAAGAAAGUGUGUCAACAAAAGCAAAAAUUUCCCAAGUCUCCCCAUCAUCGACAUUGUCACUCUCACUCACACACACCACUCAACCCUAGCAUAGAUGCCCAUCAUCACUCUCAAUCAAUCAGCCACUACGUACACUACCCAAACCCUAGCCGGCGGACCGUUCCUUACCCUUGUUCAAACUGCCAGCGUUCAAAUUUCCAUUGAAGCCAUUGUUUGAAUUGCGAACUAAAGCCUAGACUGAGAUUCAUCACUCGCUACUGUAUCUUGAACACAAAGAAUACUCAAAGCUAUUGUCGUGCAUGAUGGGUAAUUUCAUUUUCCAUAAUGUUAAAUACGUAGAAGAAAAUUCUACAUCUUUCGUUGAAAUUCAAGAACUUGAACAAUGUAGCGACAUGGUGAUCUUUGAAAAUUUCUUAUGGUCCACAAUAUGGCCACGUCUUAGGUUGAAACUCAAAAGACUAUGAUACUUUGAAUAACUUCAAGAUCAGCGAUUAGUGAUCGUUGAAAUUUCAACGGAAAAUCUAGAAUUUUCCUCAACGUGUUUGACAUUGUGGACACCUAAACAAUGAAUUCAAUUUUGGACCUAAUUUGAUUGAUACGUUACCCAUCAUGCACGAUAAUUUCUUUGAAAAUUCUUUUUUGUUCAAGAAUCA